UUAUUUACUUAUUUUUAUUUAUUUAUUUAUUUUGAGACGGAGUCUCGCUCUUUCGCCCAGGCUGGAGUGCAGUGGCGUGAUCUCGGCUCAUUGCAACCUCCACCUCCCGGGUUCAAGCUGUUCUCCCUGCCUCAGCCUCCCGAGUAGCUGGGAUUACAGGCACCUGCCAUAAUGCUUGGCUAGUUUUCUGUAUUUUUUUUUUUUUUUGAGACAGAGUCUUGCUCUGUCGCCCAUGGUGGAGUGCAGUGGCACCAUCUCGGCUCACUGCAAGCUCCGCCUCCCGGAUUCACGCCAUUCUCCUGCCUUAGCCUCCCGAGCAGCUGGGACUACAGGUGCCCGCGACCACGUCUGGCUAAUUUUUUUGUAUUUUUAGUAGAGAUGGGUUGUUACCGUGUUAGCCAGGAUGGUCUCAAUCUCCUGACCUCAUGAUCCACCCGCGUUGGCCGCCCAAAGUGCUGGGAUUACAGGCGUGAGCCACUGUGCCCGACCUUUAUUUAUUUAUUUAUUUAUUUUGAGACAGGGUCUUACUGUGUCACCCAGGUUGGAGUGUAGUGGUGUGAUCAUGGCUCACUGCAGCCUCAACCUCCUAUGCUCAAGCAAUCCUCCCGUCUCAGCCUCCCAAGUAGCUGGGACUACAUGCACAAGCCACCACAUCUGGUUGAUUUUUAAAUUUUAUGUAGAGACAGGGUGUAUUAGUCCAUUUUCACACUGUUAUAAAGAAAUACCUGAGACUGAGUAAUUUAUAAAGAAAGAGGUUUAAUUGACUCACAGUUAUACAUGGCUGGGGAAGCCUCAGGAAACUUACAAUCAUGGCAGAAGGCAAAGGGGAAGUAAGAACCUUCUUCACAAGGCAGCAGGAGAGAGAGAAGGGAAGGAGGAACUCCCAAACACUUGUAAAACCAUUGGAUUUCGUGAGCAUUCACUAGCAUGAGAACCGCAUGGGGGAAACUCCCCAUGAUCCAGUUACCUCCCUCACUCAACACAUGGGAGGGAUUACAGGUUCCCUCCCUCCACAGGUGGUGAUUACAAAUCGAGAUGAGAUUUGGGUGGGGACACAGAGCCAUAGCAUAUCACAGGGUCUCCCUUUGUUGCCCAGGCUAUUGUCAAACUCCUGGGCUCAAGAGAUCCUCCCAUCUCAGCCUCCCAAAAUGCUGGGAUUAUAGGCAAGAGCCACUUUGCCAGGCCAGGAGCUUAAAAUUUUAAACUGUUAAAAUGAGUUUCUUUAAUGCAUUGAGUUUCCUUUAUUGAAUUUCUUUUUGAACGUUGGCUAAUGAGCCGAGGAAUCAUGCAAAGCUUUAAAUUACAGAUUCAGUGGGUGUUACAGCUAAAGCCUGGGAAGAAAAAUAAAAUGAGUGAAAUACGUCCAUUUUAGAUUUGUUCAGUUCAACAAACAUGUAUGAGAAACAACAAAAAGCAUGUAUUAAAGAGCCUGCUAUGGCUGCAGCGCUGUGUCAUGGAGAAUCUAAAUAUUAGCAUCCCUUCUUGCAGACAGAGUUGAGUAGUUUUAGAUGAGAUUCCUUAAUUGGGAGGGAUUUUGGACCACAGAAUAAUCUCUAGGGUGCUUUUCAACUCUCAGAUUAUAUAAUUAUGUUGGAAGGGAAGUAAUUUGUUAGUUCCAGGAGAACUUUUAUGUUCUCAGUAGAUGUGCCAGAAGCAUUAGCUGCCACACAUUGUGGGAAUGUAAAAUUCCAACCGAAUAAGGCAUUCAACCCAAUUAAAAAAAAUUUUAAUGGGCACUAAUGGCCUUAAUCAAGAUAGAAUAGUUUACAGAAUAUUAUUAGCAUUAAUACAGUAGUAAUAUAAGUAUAAAUAGGACCUUGAUUUAUAAAUUUAAGCAAUGUCAAGAAGCAUACAUGGAAUGUGAAGAAAAAGAGAUGAAAAUACAGCCAUGUGUCGCUUAACGUUGGGGAUACGUACUGAGAAAUGCAUCAUUAGGUGAUUUUGUUGUUGUGUAAACAUCAUAGAAUGUACUUACACAUACCUGGAUGGUAUAGCCUACUGCACAUGUAGGCUAUAUGGUAUAGCCUAUUGCUCCUAAGCUGCAAAACUGUACAGCAUGUGACUGUACUGAAUAAAUAGGCAAUUGUAAUGCAGUAGUAUUUGUGUAUCUAAACAUAUCUAAACAAGCAAAGUACAGGAAAAAUACGGUACAAAAAAUAAAAAAUGGUUCACCUGACCAGGACACUUAUUAUGACUGGAAGUUGCUCUGGGUGCAUCAGUGAGUGAGCGGUGAGUAAAUGCGAAGGCCUAGGGCAUUACUGUACACUACAGAAACACUGUACAGCUUAGGUUGCACUAAAUCAAAAAAUUAUUUUUCUUCGAUAAUAAAUUAACCUUAGCUUACUGUAAUUUUUUUACUUUAUAAACUUUUACAUUUUUUAACAUUCUGACUCGUUUGUAAUACUUAGCUUAAAACACAUUGUACAGCUAUAUAACAAUAUUUUUCUCUUUCUUUCCUGUCAUACUAAAAUCACUUUUUUUUUUUUUUUUUUUUUUUAAAAAGAGAUGAGAUC
rnacentral:lncRNA from 10 species